UACGUAGUGUGCGAGCGUUGUCCGGAAUUAUUGGGCGUAAAGAGCUCGUAGGCGGUUUGUUGCGUCUAUCGUGAAAACCUGCAGCUUAACUGUGGGCUUGCGGUGGAUACGGGCAGACUUGAGUUCGGUAGGGGAGACUGGAAUUCCUGGUGUAGCGGUGAAAUGCGCAGAUAUCGAGAGGAACACCAGUGGCGAAGGCGAGUCUCUGGACGAUUCCUGACGCUGAGGCACGAAAGCCAGGGGAGCAAACGGG
rnacentral:rRNA from 1 species